rnacentral:rRNA from 1 species
GACUCGGAUCAGGUAG